rnacentral:rRNA from 1 species
AUUGAACGCUGGCGGCAUGCCUUACACAUGCAAGUCGAACGGUAACGGGCCUUCGGGUGCCGACGAGUGGCGAACGGGUGAGUAAUGUAUCGGAACGUACCUUUUCAGUGGGGGGAUAACGUAGCGAAAGUUACGCUAAUACCGCAUAUUCUGUGAGCAGGAAAGCAGGGGAUCGCAAGACCUUGCGCUGAUUGAGCGGCCGAUAUCAGAUUAGCUAGUUGGUGAGGUAAAGGCUCACCAAGGCGACGAUCUGUAGCGGGUCUGAGAGGAUGAUCCGCCACACUGGAACUGAGACACGGUCCAAACUCCUACGGGAGGCAGCAGUAAGGAGUUUUUCGGCAAUGGGGGGGAACCCUGACCGAGCAACGCCGCGUGAGUGAUGACGGCCCUAUGGGUUGUAAAGCUCUGUUAUAAGGGACGAACAGACUUUGCUAGGAAAUGAGCAGAGUCUGACGGUACUUUAUCAGAAAGCCACGGCUAACUACGUGCCAGCAGCCGC